UGCCAGCAGCCGCGGUAACACAGAGGGCUCAAGCGUUAAUCGGAAUCACUGGGCUUAAAGGGUGCGCAGGCUGGCUUGAAAGUAUCGUGUGAAAUCCCACGGCUCAACCGUGGAACUGCACGGUAAACUUCAAGCCUUGAGGUCGGUAGGGGCUGCCGGAACUCUAGGUGGAGCGGUGAAAUGCGUAGGUAUCUAGAGGAACACCAAAGGUGAAGACAGGCAGCUGGGCCAAUCCUGACGCUGAGGCACGAAAGCGUGGGUAGCGAACGGGAUUAGAUA
rnacentral:rRNA from 1 species